rnacentral:rRNA from 1 species
CCCUUAGAUGUUCUGGGCCGCACGCGCGCUACACUGACGAUGGCAACGAGUUUUUCCUUCGCCGAAAGGUGUGGGUAAUCUUUUGAAACAUCGUCGUGCUGGGGAUAGAUCAUUGCAAUUUUUGAUCUUGAACGAGGAAUUACUAGUAAGCGCGAGUCAUCAGCUCGCGUUGAUUACGUCCCUGCCCUUUGUACACACCGCCCGUCGCUACUACCGAUUGAAUGGUUUAGUGAGGACUCCUGAUUGGCGCCGCCGCCCCGGCAACGGAGCAGCGGACUGCCGAAAAGUUGUUCAAACUUGAUCAUUUAGAGGAAGUAAAAGUCGUAACA